CGCAGAGUGGACCAGAGUUGAACUUUCCCAUCCUUGUCAUCCAUUUUGAUCCAUCAUGGCUACUCUGCUGUUGGGUGAAGCUUGCUGAAAUGGCUUGUGCCCUCAUGCCUAGCAGGGCCCAGAUUAACAGAGAAUAGGCUCAUUCCCAGAGCAAUAAACCAUGGUCUGUCAUGAUAUCUGAACAUAUCCAUUAUCUGCCUACCAUCAUCUGUUCAUUAUUUUUCUGUAAAAUCUGCUUUCUAUAUACUUUAUACAGGCCAUACCCUUGACCUACCAUUGUCCACCAUAAGUGACCUUGCCCCAUGGCUGUUAGACUCCAUUCUGGGCCCUGUGACUCAUGGAAAGGAGCACUCUUCACUUAUGUGAAAUGUUGUUUACUCUUUGCCCAAGCCCCUGUGGAUCUCAUGGCAGUAAUGUUGCGCCACUAUAAAGACCUCCACGGUCCAGUUCUCCUGGCAUCCUUUUUGAGGUUCCCAGGCUCCUGGACAUUCCUCUGGCAAUCAUUUGUCCCUGGUAUUUAUUCAUGUUUAUGUCCAAGCUCCAUAUUAGAUCAUCACUGUUUGGAAAGCACAAGCCCUCUUAAAAACAUGAAACAUUCAAUUACUAAUUAGCUGUUUCCUGUUUGUAAUAGAGUGAACAUGCUGGAUGUGGAUUAAAAUUCAGCUCCUGCACUUGGCUGUUUAUAGUUCCAGAUGUUUUUGUUUUAUCUAGGAGUUUACUUUGACAGCUCCCGUUAAAUGAUAAAUCACUCAUAUUAUAGCUGAAAUGCAUUUCAAAAUUGAAAUGUAGCAAAACUUGGUGAUUGCUCCAAGGAUCUGUGUCGGUUAGCCGGUCAAUACAGGUUCUUUCCUUAUGAAGAUUUGGUAUUGGCAUAUGUAAAACAGUAAUGGGAGAUAUGUCAACAUUAUACACAUGCCGGUUGGGUUGAUCAUUUUCCUACAGCCUCCAAAAGCAGUAGUUGCUGGUGCAGCUGUUUGGACUUUAAAUGCAUUCUAAGACUAAUAGGAAUAUAGAUUUGCAUUCCUUUUGGCUCUCCGUAGACUCCCCCCCUACCCCCACCACCACUGCCUGAACUUAAAACAGCAUAUUUCUUAUCAUUAAGAAAAGAGCUUGGUGUCUGUUUGCUUUUCCAGAUAAAGAGGAAUGCAGAAAACAAAGGUGAUAGAAGUGGCUUCUCCUCCCAAUCCCAGGAGAGAUAUUGAUUUACUAACCAUGCUGAUUUGUAAUGCAGUCUUUUAUGUUUUAAAAUAUGCCCUCUUGCAGGUGGAUUGGGCAUGUGAUGAGCUUAAUUCACUUUGUAGACUAAUGGAAGUAUUCACUUGAUUCACUCAACACCUUUUUAGGUCUCUCAAUUUCGUAUUCCAGGUUUUAUUCAAGAAUAUAUGCAAAAACAAAAUAAAUUAAGCUGUUGCCAUCUAGGACCUCACAUUGGUACUGGCAAGGCCUGGCUAAAGGGCAGGCCAGCUGCAGGAGACCAGGACCACGAUCAGCUCUUGCGUGGAUUGGGUGUCAUGGACUGGCUGUAAAGGCAUUAAAAGCAGCAAGUUAGGAUGUUGCUGCAGCAAUACUCCAAAGUCAACUGGAUUUUUAUAGUCCUGCACCAAAGAGGUUGCUCCACCCGCUCUGAGGAAGCUUGCAACUGAAAGAGCUUGUACUCUGUUUCUCAGGCAUUGGCUUUGGUGGGGUAGGGAGGGAGGUCCUGUCUGGUGGAGUCAGGCUUCAGGGAAUCAACCCCACUCCCGUGGCAGUAGAUAAGCAGAACAAAGGAAAAGGGAGUUUUUUUACCAGUUAUAAACUUUAAUGAUCACAGCAAGAUAAUAAAGAACCCUUCUCCUAGGAAUGGUGCUGCUCCCAAUUAAGAAUCUCACCCCCUACAUCCCUAUUCAUCCACGUCACUUCUACGUCUUGAAAUCUGAGCUUGUACUUGCUUUGUGUGCUUUCUGUUCUGCCACUUUCUCAGCUCUUCUUGACCUUGGGGAGAGCGGAGGAAUGCUUUCCAGAGACAGUGAAUCUGUUAACCCUCUCUCUCCCAGUGUUUCUUCUCCUACCUGUUCCCCAUCCAGUAUUUCCCAGCUUCUGCCUUCUGAACUAUGCCCCUCUGCAAACCACUGUUCCAAAUCUAUACCGUCCUCCUGCUCCUGGGAAGAUUCAGGAUCCAGCUCAGGAGCAGGGGGAGGGGAGGCUCCCACCAUUCCUCCUCUGUGCAGCCCUCCUCAGCACGGUCUCUGACAGGUGGUAGUAGUAGGGUGCCCUCCCACACCGAGAAGGGUUCUGAAGAGGAGGCGCCUCAAAAGAGAACAGGGCAGAUGCUGGCAGUGCUGGUUCCCUGGGCUCUCUGGAAAGGCAGAUAUUUCCAGGUAUGGCUCCUAUCCCAAGUCUCUCCACCCCCCCCCACCAUCAAGGUCUGACUUAAACUUGUUGCUUAUUGUCAUACUUUUAAGCAGAAAAGAAAAUGUUAAGCCUUUAAAAAAGCAAAAAUAAAAAACAAAUCUAAUUGGUCAUAAACUAGUCGGUGAUUCCUAGUUUGCUGGAUGAGGUCUUGAAGUCUUGAAUGGAAUCUUAAGUGCAUGACCUCCCACCAGAACUAUCUAGCACCUUGGAUUUAGCAAAGUUUUGUUUUUAUUAACUUAGAAAGGAUCUAGAGUCUUACUGGGGGGAAACCCAGCCAGAUGGGCGCAGUAUAAAUAAUAAAUUAUUAUUAUAAAUUAUUAUAAAUUACUACUACUACUACUACUACUACUACUAGAGAUUCUUUUUUAAUGUUCUGCAUUAUUUGUCUAGUUCAGCCCUUAGUGAUUUUGCCUAACCCAUAAAGACAGAUGUAUAAAGUCAGGAACCAAUGAAGGCUUUUCUGCUGCAGAGCGAAUUCUGCUUCCAUUCAUUUUUGCUCCUCUAAUGACAUGCAUACCUGACUCUGAAUCCAGUACAGGUUACCCCCCCCCCCCCAAUAUGGCUACACUUUGCCUGUAAAAAAUGGAUGUGAAGGAUAUGUUUAGCAGGUUAAAUGUUUAUUUUUGCACCUAGGUAUGUUUUUAAGCUGGUCCGUUGUUUUCUGUCAUCAUCAUCAUCGCCAUCAUCACUACUAUUACUAGUAUAUUGAUCCAUGCAGAGGAGGGGAAGUGAGUUCAUAACUUCCACAAGGGCCAGCCAAUCAGCACUUUGCACAGCCAGAAUCAGGAAGGAAUUGGUUGUUCCUGAGCUCAGUUCUUUUAGGAAGGUUGUAUGUCUAACCCAAGCAAAGUGAAGGCGGAUCCACAACAGGCUCACCAUCUGUGUCCAUCUGUACAGAGCCUUACAAAUACUGUUUGUAUAUUUACUCAGAAGGAAUUGCCAUGGUACAUGUCUCACUUCUUGCUGUACUCAAAGUCUUACUUUUACUCUAGCCAAUCAGGAUAUUCCUGCAUUUGCAGAUUUGAAACGUGUGUGAUUCAUAAAUAUUGAUUUUAACUCAGCCUUUUCAAAAGUGCAAAUAUUAGAUUUAUGUAAUUACCAUGCUGUGUUCUUCUUUUUUUCUUCCAGAAAACAGAGCAUACAUCAAACCUACCAUUAUGUACUGAAGACAGUAAAAAUGAAGGGGUGGGAUGGGGAAAAUAUAAUGAUCACUAUUUGAAGACUAUAUAACUCAUGAAAGAAGUCCCUUCUAACCUUUGAUGCCUUCAGUGUUCUGCGAAGGACAGGAUUGGUAGCAUUGAAAUGUGGACAGUGUGAAGCAAUUUACUGUUCCUGUGUUGAAAACUGCCAAAAUGUCAUUGAGAAAUAUUAUGACUUCUUUCAAGCUUUCUGUACUAUACCAAACCUGUUGUAGCAAUUCAUUUUAGGCCCCAGAGGAUAGAGAGGGAGGGGGUAAAAGUUAUACUAGAACUCUUAAGCACACACAAGAAUGAUUCCCCAAAAUAACUAACUUCCCACCCCCCCACAAGGAGUUAGCUAUUACAGUAUAGCAAUGGCACAAUGAAUUAAACAAGCCGCAAAGGUUUUCACUGGCUGUAUGUCCUACAGGUCCAGUGUUAGCACUGAAACUGCUCAACAUAGAGCCGUUUCAAUUGUGUUUAUAAAUUUAAGCUUUGUUUACUGAAGCUGAAACUCAAUAUAUAAUACAUUUCGAAGAUAAAAGUAUGUACAUUUUUUAUUACGAUAACGAUGUAAAAAUUGUCCUUUCCUUAGAUGAGCAAUCUGAGAGGGUGUGAACAUAACCCACAAUAGCUGAUGUAAUAAGGGGAUUAUAAAUUGAUGCAGCAUCAUCAUCAUUAUUAUUAUUCUUACAUUAUUCUUAUUAUUAUUCUCAGUUCCGCUUGGCUUUUGGUCUUUCAAGAAGAAUGGGGGGAGGGGAGGAUGACUAUAUAGUAGAAUAUUAGACAAUAGAAAAUUUAAAGUAUAGUUUCUCUGUUGUACAAUAUUAAGUUAAAAGUACACAUUCUUUGUUAAAAUGUUCUUGCUAAAAACAGCAGUAUUAAAAACAUUUUGUUUGACUU